rnacentral:rRNA from 1 species
UUAGGUGGCGCACGGGUGCGUAACGCGGUGGGAAUCUCGCCCUUGGGGUUCGGAAUAACAGUUAAGAAAUGACUGCUAAUACCGAAUGAUGUCUUCGGACCAAAGAUUUAUCCGCCCAAGGAUGAGCCCGCGUCGGAUUAGCUAGUUGGUGAGGUAAAGGCUCACCAAGGCGACGAUCCGUAGCUGGUCUGAGAGGAUGAUCAGCCACACUGGGACUGAGACACGGCCCAGACUCCUACGGGAGGCAGCAGUGGGAAUAUUGGACAAUGGGCGAAAGCCUGAUCCAGCAAUGCCGCGUGAGUGAUGAAGGCCUUAGGGUUGUAAAGCUCUUUUACCCGGGAUGAUAAUGACAGUACCGGGAGAAUAAGCCCCGGCUAACUCCGUG